rnacentral:lncRNA from 1 species
AAGAACUACAAAAUCCUCAUGUCCCGACGUAUCACGUUACAACCCUGAAACCAUAGUGAGGUUUUCAGGUGGCAUUCAUUAACUUGAGCAAUUGCAUUUCUUUGGAAAUGGACGUUACUUAGGUAGCUUUUAGACACAAAUACUGGCAAACUAAGAUAUUACCUGCAUUUCCCUUAUGAUGCUAAGAAAUCUUGUUUAGAAAUACAUGCAUGAUUGUGUGUUUUCUCUCAGCUAGGAUGAUGGCUCAGUUCAAGGAUGAUUGGAGGAGAGAACAGUUCCAGAAUGAUGAUCUUCAAAAGAAAGUCGCCAGUCUUCGGAAAACAAAUGGAGCCCUUCAGGAUGAGAUUGGUAACUUUUUCUGGUCUUUUUUUGGUGGGGAAGGUAUAUUUCCUAGAAAUAUUCUCUUUGUUUCUUGCCUUCCUUUGCUGUUACUUUCAUUUACUGUCUUCCAGAUGAUUACCAUGAUUUCAUUGUAAGGUUUGUUAAAUGAAUGGAGUUGGGCAAGAAGAAUGGGUUUUGAAGAAUGUUUUCUCUGAAAUAAAA